AUUCAGCUGACGAGUUCCAAAUAGGACGAAACGCGCGUUCUCUAU
rnacentral:hammerhead_ribozyme from 1 species